GUGCCUAAUUUGUGAAGCAGAAGAAGUGCACGCACUGGUUUGGUUUCGGGCAGUUGAACGCGAGGCAGACGGAGUUGUGCGGAAGAAGUCGCUCAUUUGCGGUUUUUUGUCCCUGAAUACCCCACAGACGAGGCAAAUCCAUUUAAAAUACACACUCGUGUGUGUGCGUUCGGACUUUUACUAACAGGUAGGCUCUAUCGUAGCCGAGAUAUCAAUUGUUUUGAGAACGGUUGCUAGGCCUCACAGGUUAAUCACCAUGAGUUACGGUAGGCCUCCGCCAGACGUCGACGGCAUGACUUCCCUCAAAGUGGACAACUUAACGUACCGAACUUCGCCCGAAACCCUUAGACGUGUGUUCGAAAAGUAUGGCCGUGUAGGGGACGUGUAUAUUCCCCGAGACCGCUACACGAAAGAAAGUCGGGGUUUCGCUUUUGUGCGGUUCCACGACAAACGUGACGCCGAGGACGCAAUGGACGCCAUGGAUGGCGCGCUCCUGGAUGGACGAGAGUUGCGAGUCCAAAUGGCCCGCUACGGCAGACCCCCCGAUUCUCACUACGGCGGUAGUGGUGGUGGUGGCGGCGGCGGUGGAGGAGGAGGAGGUGGUGGAGGAGGCCGGCGAGGAGGGCAGACCAGGAGGUACGGCGGCCAUGGACGCAGAAGCAGGAGCUCUUCCCCCAGCCCGAGACACAGAAGACGCAGCAGGUCCCGCAGCAGGAGCCGCUCUCGUUCCCGAAGCCGAUCCCGCUACAGCAGAUCCAGGUCCCGCUCCUACUCCCGAUCCAAGUCUCACUCUCCCAGGAACAAGAAGGCCAAGUCCCCGUCUCGUUCCAGAUCUAGAUCCAGGUCCCGGUCCAAGUCUAAGUCUAAAUCCAAGUCCAAGUCCAGGUCCAGAAGCCCUGUCUACAAAAGAAGUUCCAGGUCGAGAUCUAAAAGCCAGCCCAAGUCAGCAGCAGAAAAUGGAGGCGAAACACCCUAGAGCUCAGCUUCAGCUGCGGCAUCCUGUUUGCUAAAGUGGAGUUUGAGCUGAGGCAGUAUGAGCAGUUAGAAGGUGUGUGGUGAGCUGCCCACAGGCCGCCUGCUGCUGGUGAGGGUUUCUGUGCAGCAGGGUGGAGGCAGUCAGUGUUGGGGUUUGGUGUUGAGGUACGUCUGUCGGUGUCUGGCAUUGAACAUAAAACUGUCCUCCAGGCCUCGUCCCGGGCCGGGGGACACUGGUGCUUGCGGGGCACUAAGUUUUCAGGUGAAGACUGAAAGCUUCAAGUCCAAGACUGGAUCCAACGCAAGCAACAGUGUCCUGCUUUAAAAGGUUAUUAUUGUGUCUUCCAUGCUUUGGUUUGUUUGAUUCAUUUUGGCCACAACAAAAGGCUUUGUCACUUCAUUCAUGUGCUAUGGUUUUUAUUUUCAUAAUUUUAGUCAAUCUGGUUCAGUGUGGACAGGAAUUACUGUUCUGACCUGGUUUUGUAACAAUGACACAGGAUAAUACACAAGUUGCCCUUUUUAAGUUCUUCUCCCCAUGGGCCUGUUAAUAUAAGCGACUACAUUGUCCAGCUUUCUUUGACUUUCAACGCUUUGAGCCUCACAUUGAUCUUGGAUUACCUUUUGCUUGAAUUUGGUUCCCAACUGACUCAAUUCAGCAAUGAAAACUUUUACACAAAAAAAAACAGACUUCAUUAUCACAGGCAAGCUGUAAGCUAUUUUUAUUUGAGUCAGAAGUUCUAGAAUUAUCCUCUGGUAUAAUUCGGUAUAAAAAGCAAAGACUAUACUAAUGUGGAAACAUUUCUAGGGCUGCAACUGACAAUUUUUAUUAACCAUCAAAAUGUGGUCCAUUUUCUUGAUUAUAAUUGUAUCGUCAAAGUUCAACUGUUCUCCAAAUCUUUUCCUUUAAAUCAAUUUGUGUCGCUCGAUUUAAAUUUCAGCCUUUAACAAGUGACUUACUUCUUGUAAAUGUUUCACUUUAUGGUAAAUGUAGUGCUUUCAUCCAUGUCGAGAUCCUGUAGAAAUGUAGAUAUAUAUUUUUGCGUUAGCCAUGGUGAUCUAUCGUGGUGAGUGAGCAGCUUUGUGAAAGCCCGAGUAAAGCUCAAAUUUAGCUGGCGAACAACUUUUAAUCUCUCUUAGUGAUACAGGCCCGUGGUGUCAGGAUAGCUGGACACAUCUGAAAAAGCCAUGUCUUGUUUAGCAAGAGAUAAAUCGAAAAUGACUUAAUCCACACCAACCUUUAAAAUUUGCUUAUUUUUUAUUAAUAUCUGAGCAAAUAAUUCAUUAAAGUAAUCCCUCAAAACCGUAAUGAAGUGGCUUUCUUACAAUCUCUAAUUUCUGCAGCUCAGGGUGUCUUUGUUAGACAUUUUAACUCCUGUGAUAAAUGUGUUAAAUGUAAUUGCAUAUACAGUUUCCAAAAAAAAGUGACGGGUGAUGUAAAGUCUAGCAGUUUGAAGAUUGUUUCAGGUCAGUCACAUAUUUUGAGGAUAAGAUCAUCUCCUUAAAUCUUUAGUUGAAUCUUACAGGACAUCAUUUACUGGACUCUGUACACAGUUUUUUUUCUUCUUUUUUUCUCUUCUUUACAUUUUUUUUUUAUCCUAAUCCUGCUUGUAUGUUUGUUUUGUGCACUAGGCGCAGUUGUGUAGCAGUUGAGUAUUGCUGGUUAGCUGUUAAGGUGGCGUGUUGCUCUGCUGAGUGCUUGGAUGUAUCCAGUAUUCUCCAGAAUGCUCCUGUGACUACCAGUGGUUCGGUCGCUACAGUCUCACCCCUUUGUAAGACGAAAUGUUUUUCCCAUAUGGUUAUGGAUGACAAAUGUAACUUUCAUUAAAGAUUUGGUGUUUGUCUAAAA